rnacentral:lncRNA from 1 species
CUGUAUCUUCCUUUCAGGUCACAGUGAGUGGAAAUAGCUCCAAUAAAGGGAGGAACAGCAAGGGCACUGUUUGAAGGAAGAGAGGAAGCAUUUCCUUCUGAGUGGCCUGGUGAAAGAGUUCAAGGCUGUCAAGCUGCAGGAUCCAGCAAGUUGAAGAGCCAGGUGCUUGAUGGAUUAGUCUACAUUUACGGACAAUUGGUUUUGUUUAUAUGAAGGGAGAGGAGAGAAAUUGGCUACAUGCUAGAGAGAAAUUGAGGUAGUAACUGCACUCUACAGGAAGAGGUAAGGUGCUUAUCCACAGAGCUAUUUUCCAAAAAAUUUUAGACAUUCUAGGUAUGUCUAGCAUGCU